rnacentral:rRNA from 1 species
AGUAAAGUGGCGUACGGGUGAGUAACACGUGGAUAACCUGCCCCUUUGUGGGGAAUACCGUUGGGAAACCGACGACAAUACCGCAUAAGCUCGAGAGAGGAAAGCAGCAAUGCGCAGAGGGAGGGGUCCGCGGCCGAUUAGCUAGUUGGUAGGGUAAUGGCCUACCAAGGCUGUGAUCGGUAGCCGGCCUGAGAGGGCACACGGCCACACUGGCACUGAAACACGGGCCAG